GAUGAACGCUAGCGGCAGGCCUAAUACAUGCAAGUCGGACGGGAUAGGAGAGCUUGCUUUCCUUGAGAGUGGCGCACGGGUGCGUAACACGUAUGUAACCUACCUUAGUCAGGGGGAUAGCCUCUCGAAAGAGAGAUUAAGACCGCAUAACAUCACGGAAUGGCAUCGUUUUGUGAUCAAAUAUUUAUAGGACUAAGAUGGGCAUGCGCAACAUUAGCUAGUUGGUGUGGUAACGGCAUACCAAGGCUACGAUGUUUAGGGGAUCUGAGAGGAUGACCCCCCACACUGGUACUGAGACACGGACCAGACUCCUACGGGAGGCAGCAGUAAGGAAUAUUGGUCAAUGGACGGAAGUCUGAACCAGCCAUGCCGCGUGCAGGAAGACGGCCCUACGGGUUGUAAACUGCUUUUGCAGGGGAAUAAACCUCGAUACGUGUAUCGAGUUGAAUGUACCUUGAGAAUAAGGAUCGGCUAACUCCGUGCCAGCAGCCGCGGUAAUACGGAGGAUCCAAGCGUUAUCCGGAUUUAUUGGGUUUAAAGGGUGCGUAGGCGGCUUUUUAAGUCAGGGGUGAAAGACGGUAGCUCAACUAUCGCAGUGCCCUUGAUACUGAAGAGCUUGAAUGUACUUGAGGUAGGCGGAAUGUGACAAGUAGCGGUGAAAUGCAUAGAUAUGUCACAGAACACCAAUUGCGAAGGCAGCUUACUAAAGUAUGAUUGACGCUGAGGCACGAAAGCGUGGGGAUCAAACAGGAUUAGAUACCCUGGUAGUCCACGCCCUAAACGAUGAACACUCGAUGUUGGCGAUAUACGGUCAGCGUCUAAGCGAAAGCGUUAAGUGUUCCACCUGGGGAGUACGCCCGCAA
rnacentral:rRNA from 1 species